rnacentral:rRNA from 1 species
GACGAACGCUGGCGGCGCGCUUAACACAUGCAAGUCGAGCGAAGCGGCGGACGGGUGAGUAACACGUGAGUAACCUGCCUUAGACAUUGGGAUAGCCUCGGGAAACCGGGAUUAAUACCAAAUGGUAUAAGAUUGACUCGCGUCCCAUGAGCUAGUUGGUGAGGUAACGGCCCACCAAGGCGACGAUGGGUAGCAGGCCUGAGAGGGUGAACGGCCACAGUGGAACGGAGAAACGGUCCAAACUCUACGGGAGGCAGCAGUGGGGAAUAUUGCACAAUGGAGGGAAGUCUGAUGCAGCGACGCCGCGUGAGUGAAGAAGGUUUUCGGAGCGUAAAACACUGUUGUUAGGGAAGCGUUAGUAACUGAACGUCCAUUGACGGUAUCUAAACAGAAAGCCACGGAACUACGUGCCAGCAGCCGCGGUAAUAC